GAUCCUGGCUCAGGAUGAACGCUGGCGGGCGUGCUUAACACAUGCAAGUCGAACGAAGCACUUUAAUUGAUUUCUUCGGAAUGAAGUUUUUGUGACUGAGUGGCGGACGGGUGAGUAACGCGUGGGUAACCUGCCUCAUACAGGGGGAUAACAGUUGGAAACGACUGCUAAUACCGCAUAAGCGCACGGGAUUGCAUGAUCCGGUGUGAAAAACUCCGGUGGUAUGAGAUGGACCCGCGU
rnacentral:rRNA from 1 species